rnacentral:rRNA from 1 species
UACGUAGGGUGCAAGCGUUAAUCGGAAUUACUGGGCGUAAAGCGUGCGCAGGCGGUCUUGUAAGACAGAUGUGAAAUCCCCGGGCUCAACCUGGGAACUGCAUUUGUGACUGCAAGGCUGGAGUACGGUAGAGGGGGAUGGAAUUCCGCGUGUAGCAGUGAAAUGCGUAGAUAUGCGGAGGAACACCGAUGGCGAAGGCAGUCCCCUGGACCUGUACUGACGCUCAUGCACGAAAGCGUGGGGAGCAAACAGG